UACGGAGGGUGCAAGCGUUAUCCGGAUUUACUGGGUUUAAAGGGUGCGUAGGUGGGCCUGUAAGUCAGUGGUGAAAUCUUCAAGCUUAACUUGGAAACUGCCAUUGAUACUAUAGGUCUUGAAUUAUCUGGAGGUAAGCGGAAUAUGUCAUGUAGCGGUGAAAUGCUUAGAGAUGACAUAGAACACCCAUUGCGAAGGCAGCUUACUACGGAUUGAUUGACACUGAGGCGCGAAAGCGUGGGGAGUCAAACAGGA
rnacentral:rRNA from 1 species